UUUUUUUUUGUUUUUGUUUUUUUUAUGGCCGCACCCAUGGCAUAUGGAGGUUCCCAGGCUAGGGGUCAAAUUAGAGCUUAAACUGCUGGCCUACACCACAGCCACAGCCAUAGCAAAGCCAGAGCUGACCGUGUCUGCGGCCUACACCACAGCUCAUGGCAACGCCAGAUCCUUAACCCACUGAGGAAGGCCAGGGAUUGAACCUGUGUCCUCAUGGACACUAGUCAGAUUCAUUUCCACUGAGCCAUGAGGAACUCCUCAUUUUACAUCUUUACAAAUCUUUUUUCUGUCUACCUUAAUGGAAGAUAGCUGGAUUCUUGGAUCCAUUUCUGCUUUCAAUCUCUUGUGAAAUCACAGAUCUUAGUUUCUGGAAAACUCCACCAUAUACUUGUAAAGCCACUGGUCCCAUCAAUGUUCACUUUAACACCUGAGACAAGUAGACACACAGGUCACACUUGAACAUGCUCAGUGAAUGGAAACUUACCAGCCCACUGCUCCUCCCAAAGCAUCUCAGUUAGAAAGUUGCUCUCUCUGUCCUGCUGGCUGUUCUCUCUCAUUAGUCAUAGGCAUGCUCCUUAACAUUAUUCAGAAUAAAUUUCAUCAUUUCUUUAAGGCUAAGCCCCUCAUAUACUUUACUGUAAGAGUUAUUCAUAGCUUUAUAGUUUACAGGGUACUUUUGCCCAUACUCUCUUAAAAAAUAACUUUAAGAUAAUCAAUUCGAUUCUAAACACAUAUGUCAAUAGAAUUUAUCAUGAGUUAUGCCCUCCUGCUGACAGUCUCAAGAUCUGUCUAUGAUCUUUUACCAGACACAAAUAGUCCCUAUAGCAACAGUUUUCAGGUAUCAGACUGGCAGAGCUUAUAGACUUCAAGUGUCUGGGAUGGUAAAAUUAAAAGUACACUGAAAGCAAUUAAUGCCAUUUAGAAGAGAGAGUUCCCUUUUCUGCUUAAGUCACACCUUCUCAUUGCAUUAGACAUCCAAGCCUUGUGUUUUAAGUGCCUCCUACAGCAUCCUGAAAGCUUCAUGCAUGUUUCCACAUGCAUUGUAAAUAAUUAAGCUUGGCUGUUCAUCAAAUUUGUCCACCAGGUCCCUGCUUAGAGGUGGCCUAGGGAGAUGACGUGUGCUGGUUAGUGAGGGUAGAAAGACAACAUUUGUGGCUGGUUCUGAAACACAGAACAAGUCCUGGAAACAUCUCCAAAAAAACCACUAUCCAGAAUAGAAAAUACAGUUUCUUCUCAUGGUAACCCUAAAUUCUGGGAAGAAAAAGCAGUGCUCAGCCAGAUUUAAAAAUUGAGUUUGAAAUCCUCUUACAUCCACAUGAAAAUACCUGACACACACACCAAAAAAUGGUACACUGUUUAGGGGAAUGCAAAUUGGUGCAAUCAUCAUGGACAACAGUAUGAAGGCGCCUCAACAAGUUAAAAAUAUUAAAACUACUACAUGAUCCAGCAAUUUCACUUUUGGGUAUACAUCCAAAAUAAAUGAAAUCAGCAUCGCAAAGAGAUGUCUGCACUCCCACAGUCACUGCAGUAUCAUUCACAUUAGCCAACAUAUGGAAAGAACCUAAGUGUCUAUUAAUUGAUAAAUGGCUAAAGAAACUAUUAUAAGAUAAAAUACAAUAAUUAUAUAUAUGUGUGUGUGUGUGUGUGUGUGUGUGUGUGUGUGUGUGUGUGUUGUGUGGGUAUUACCCAGCCAUUGGAAGGUGUGAAAUUUGGUCAUUUGCAACAACAUGGAUAUACUUAGGGGAUAUUAUGCUAAGUGAAAUAAGACAAAUACUGUAUGAUAUCACAUGUGUAGAGUAUUUUUUUUAAAUGUUGAACUCACAGAAACAGAGUAGAACACUAGUUACCAAAGGGGUAGGGAAAAUGGAGAGAGGCUGAUUAAAGGGUAUGAGCCUUCAUUUACAAGCUGAAUAAAUUCUAAGGAUGUAAUAUACAGCAUGGUGACUAUAGUUAAUAAUACUAUACUGUCUAUUUGAAAUUUGCGUAGAGAAUAAAUCUUAAGCAUCCUCACCACACACACACACACACACACACACACAAAUGGUAACUAUGUGAGGUGACAAGGUGUUAAUCAACCCGGUUGUGGUAAUUAUUCUACAAUGUAUAUCACAUCACCAUGAUGUGUACUUUACAUAUUUUAUUUGUCAAUUAAACCUUAAUAAAUCUGAACAAAAAAUAAAGUGAGUAUACAGGUAUUAAAAAUAAUCAUGUUGUGUUCUUUAAAUACAUACUUUUUUUUGGCCCCACCCUUGGCAUAUGGAAGUUCCCAGGUCAGGGAUCAAAUCCCAGCCACCGCUGCAACUUAAGCACCUGCACUGACACAGCAACAGCAACACAGUAUCUUUCACCAUUUCUUUCACCUGGCUGGAAAUGGAAUCGUGCCUCAGCAGCAACCUGAGCCGCUGCAGAGACAAUACCAGAUCCUUAACUCACUGCACCACAGCAGGAACUCCUAAAUAUACACUAUUUUAUUUGUCAAUUAUACAUCAAUAAAAUGGGGGGAAAUAAAUAGAAAUAGAAAUAAAAAAGAAAGAAGAGGGAAAACAAAAUGAAUUGAAUCUAUCUGAAAGCCAUUUGCUAAUAUUUUCAAAUUCGUAAUUCAGAAGGAUCCACUCAGAAUGGACACUUUACAUUACAGGGUUUACAGAACAUAAUGUUGCCCUGAACAAAACCCAGAUUAAUAUUACACAAUUCAGAGGCCUCGUUCAACCAUCUCUUGCCUUCUCUCACUGCAUAACAAAGUAGAUUAGUAUUUUACUCUUAAUAGUAACAGCUAACAUUUAUUGAGUAUUUAUUAGUCAAGGAUUGUACUAGAUGCUUUUCAGCUUUACCUCAUUUAAUGCUAAUAACCACACUAAGUACUAUUAUUAUACCCUUUUUCUAGGGAAGAAAAUGAAAUUUAUAAAGCAUAUAGCCAAGGUUACAGAACUAGAAAAUGGCAGAAAGAGAAUUGCAAACAAUAGCCUAUGAAGUGCCAAAGCUCAACCUUUGAAUCACUGCCCUAUAAAAUCUAGUAGCAUGAAAAAUCGAAUACAUUUGGUUUGGGAUGAUAAUUGCUUAGUUUGAUCCUGGAAAGGAUAGACUAGGAACUGCCUGGCAACACUCAGGACCUCUCAAACAUAGAAAGCCUUUGAAUGCAUAUUACUGGAAAACAAGAAACAACCUUCCAGGCAUCUGGGGAAAGUGGUUGGAGAUAAUUUGAAAACUAGCAAAAUGAGGAAGAGAAGGAAAAAAAAAAGGAUUUGACUGCGUAAGAGUGACACUAAUUAGAACCAUUUGUGUCUGUUUCCAUUUACAUUUAUACUGCAACGUAUCAGACUGCAAGAUUUUGGGUGCUUAUCAUAUGUUUUAUUUUAUAGCAACAAGUUCUUGCCACUGGACCUCUCAGACCACACCUGAGUGCAGAGAAGCACCUCUAUGUUGGCUUGGAUUUCAUGCUGACCUGGUUUCAAACUUGCUAUACCAUGUAUUGGCUGUGCAGCCUUGGGCAAGCCACAUAAACCCUAACCUCAGGUUUUUCACCUGUAAAGUGAAAGUUAAAAAAAGGGGGAGGGGGGAGAACAUGUCCUAAAUAUCAUGUGUGUAAAUGCACACGGCACCGUGUUAGCUACUAUUUGUAUCAUGAUGAUGAUUAAUAAGCAUGGCCAAAUAUGAUCAUUGAAAGCUUGAAACAGUUUUGUUGUUUUGAUUAGGGAAAAGCAUUGUCCUCACCUCUCUCCAUUUUGCAGCUGUGUUUCUAACUUACAGUCCCACCUCCUGUUCCACCCUCCCCAUAACAGACUUAUAUAUCCUUCAGCAAAUACAAUAACUUGCUAAGAAAAGAAACAAGAAUAAGGAGAGCAGAGGGGUGGAGUAACAGAAGAACGAGAUUAAAAGGAAGAGGCUAUUUUUAAGUUUAUAAAACAACCUCAUGCCAUGCAGCAGAAAUAGAUCCAGCAUUGUCAACAGAGAAGGGAAAUUUCUUUGUGACACUUCCUGGGGUGAAGGACAGAAAAUUUACCGCAAUGAACCAUCCAGAGGUGAUUAGAGAGAAGGUCCCGUCCAGUCCUUAGGCAACACUCCCAUCUUACCACACAUAAAUACCCAGUGUCCAGAUAUAACCACAUUGAUUUCACCGUCAGAAAAAUCAAGACAUCUAAACUAGGAAUAUGUUAACUGAAAUGCAUAUUCUAUGGGAUUCUAUAAAGUUGCACAGGGAGAACCAAGAGACAGUUCCAGAGAUUGAAUCUGGCCUUAAAUAUACGGUAUUAAACAUGUGCAAACUGGAGGUAAUAGCAGACCUUAAGUGAAGUGUGAGGGAACAAAUUAACUGCUCAGUAAUCAUUGAGAAACUCUAACGUUCCAUAGUUGCUUCUUAAAGGGGAGGAGCACGUAGGCCACAGGAUCUCAGCUUAGGAGGGGGAUGUGGCUGGAAAGUGCUUGGGUCGAACUUCUGAGCCUAAUGAAAAAAAAAGAAGGUGCUUCAGGGGACUGGAGGGUAGAAAAAUGGGAAACCCUUCCAAGGGCCUGUAUUGAGAUCUUCACAGGCUAUCAAUUGUAUUUGGAAGAGUGGUUAUUAUGUUUAUUUGAGAUUUAUUAUAGAAGAAGGAAUUAUCAAUGGAACAACUCCUAGUGGAUAGAUAAUUGGCAAAACAUUUAUCAUUGACUCAUUGUUCCUGGGAAAGCUAUUAAUCUUUAUCACUUCAGUAUCUGUCAAUAAAAUAUGGGAUUAUUAUCUGUCAAUAAAUUAUGGCCUUGCCCUACAUCUUAGUAAUAUGAGAACUGCACAAGAUGGCCAUUGCCCAUCAGGACAGCUGCCACUCAAACACCAAGGAAUUCUUCGAAGUGUGUAAUAGAGACCUCUAAUCAGCUACCACAACCACCUGUGGAGGAGAGAGCCGGAGGGGUGGUGAAAAACCUCAUUUGGUGAUUUAGAAAGUAAAAAGGAAGAAGAGUGAGUGGGUGAGAGUCCUAACAGCCUGAGGUAUCAAUGAGAUUUGAGAUAAAUUAUGAAAAAUAAGGGAGAAAAUAUAAGGCAUAGAUGGAAGCACAGUGCAAUAUCCAAAUAAUAAAGAAAACAUCCCAAGUGAGUUUUGCAGUCCAAAGGCAUAAAUAAAUACAGCAGUCAAGUAAAACUGGGAAGGAAGCUUAAAAGGGGGUGGGGAGCGGAGAGUUAAAGUAAAAAAGACCACAUUAAGAAAAUCUUAGACGUUGUACAAACGCACAGAAUUAAAUGAGAACAAAAAGCAAAACAGUCAUGAAAAUGGAUGAUGUCCUGCUGGGGGUUUUCUCAUUCAUUAACUUUUCAUUCUUUUUCCUUAAACAAAUGAUUUCAAGUUAUUGCUCACUUUCAAUUUUUUAAAAACUACCUUAAAGGAGUUCCCCUGUGGUGCAGUAGAUUAAUGAUCUGAUGUUGUCACUGCAGAAGCUCAGGUCACUGCUGUGAUGUGGCUUCAGUCCCUGGCCCAGAAACUUUCACGUAUGCCAUGCGCUUGGUCCAAAAAAAAAAAAAAGGACCACCUUACAGAGCCACGAAGCUGGGAUUCAGUUGUUUUAAUGGUAAAUGUAAACUGGCUAGCUGAAGGAUAGCGGCUCAUGAUGAAGAAAAAAAUGAUAGUCCAAGAGGAAGAGUGUAUCUGGGUUUGCCCAGCGCCGUCCAGAGAGACAGAGACGCUGGGACUCACUUCUGUCUGGACUUUCACCUCUUCACCUGAAGCAAGGCCUUUAUAGUUUCCCUCUGGCAUACCCAGAACUGUCAGCGUCACUACUCUUGCACUUUGGGGCCAUUAUUAAGUGAAACAGGGGUUACUUGAACACAAGCAUUGCAAUACUGAGAGAGUUCAUCUGAAAACAGAGAACAGCCAUUAAGUGACUAACAGGACGUGCUGGACCAAAGGAUGAUUCGCAUCCUGGGUGGGAUGAAGAGGACAGUGAGAGAUGCCAUCGUGCGCCUCAUAACAGUGUGCGACUGAAAACUUAUAAAUUAACUCUGGAAUUUCCCAUUGCAUAGUUUCAGGCUGAGGUUGACCACGGGUAACUGAAAGUGCAGAAAGCAAAACCGUGGAGAAGGGGGACUGCUGUAUUGCAUUAAGGGUGGUGUUUGUUUUCAAAUAAGCAUGGAAUUGGUUUUUUUUAUUUUUAAACAUCCACCAGGCUGCCUAAGACAUUUAAAAACUCCCUCCUCCCUCGGGCACAGGGCAUUUGCGCAUUAGCUUUGUCCUGAGGACCCUGAUGUCCCCCAUCCCUGCCACCCCACUCCCACCCCUGCGGCUGACCCAGGAGAGCGUCCACUCUCACAGGGACCCUUCCUCUCGGCCUCCAGCUCCUUCAGGGCAGGCCUCACACCUCCUGGAAAAUUGAGCAAUGCCACCAUCACCACAAGGCCAUAAGGCCACUUCGCUGCUCCCUUUCUCUCCCCAUCACACCCUGACCACACCAUUCCCUCGGCUCCUGCCCUGUCCCGCCCGGCCAUGUCCAUCACAGCCUCCUGAGCCUUUUCUUUCUAAUCUACUCAGCACAGGUUCUAACUGUAUAUUAGUUUAUUAAACUAAUGGAGGCAGGAUCCAUGUCCACUUAGCUCAUCGGUAGAUUUUAGCACCUGCUACCAUCCUACCAUGCUUGGCACCUAGAUGACAAUCAAUGAAACAUUUUCAACAGACAAGUGAGCAAAUGGCUAACCCCAGCCACCUGGCUACUCCAUGCUGCUCGCUCCUACUGACCAUCUCAGGCAACUCACUCAUGGUCAGAAGCAGCCUGUACACCAGGACAGCAUAUUUGUUGUCCCUUGGCUUGGCAGAGACGAGAAAUUCACUUGUGAGUCAAGUGCCACUGGAAGGACUCUUCCCCCAGGAAACAAAGCAGCCACAUCUCUGGGCGGCCACUCUGCAACUGUCCCUCCCAUGGCUGCAGAAGCAGGAGUGAAAUCACUACGCUUCAGAGGGAACCUGCUCUCUUCAAAUACCGCCAUUCUAUCAGAAACACCACUGAGCAUUUUAAUCCCUUCAAGUCCUUUCUGCCCACCCCCCACCCAGGCAGACUCUGCCCUAGAAGCCAGUGGACCAGCUCUCCUACUCCCUGCCCAUGGCAGGUCCUUUUCACCAAAAGAAAUGAAAUGGCAAUAUGUUCAAAUUAGUUUUAAAAAGUUCUGUGGGGCAUUGCCGUUGUGGCGCAGCAGAAACAAUGCUGACUAGUAUCCAUGAGGAUGCAGGUUCAAUCCCCGGCCUUACUCCCUGGUUGGGGAUCUGUUGUAGCCAUGAGCUGUGGUGUAGGUCACAGGUGUGGCUUGGGUCCCACGUUGCUGUGGCUGUGUUGUAGGCCGACAGCUGUAGCUCCAAUUCGACCCCUAGCCUGAGAACUUCCAUGUGCUGCAGGUGCAGUCCUGGAAAAUAAAUAAAUAAAUAAAUAAGUUCUGUGAUUUGUGGAUUAGUCACAUCUAAUAAACUGUUGUUUAUUAGGAAAAAAUGUGAUUUUUCUAACCAAAAUAAUCCACAUAUGUUAGUUUUGAGCUUCUUGGAUGAAAUGUGCUAAAACAAAUACUAUCCUCUAUGCUAACGUACCAGUGAAAGUGAAAUGCCCCAAAUUCCUAUCAAAAUAUAGGUAUUUUAUCCAGCUCCUAUUUGAAAUCUUCAUGUCAUUUAUUCUCAUCCUCAAGAGACAUAUCAAUUCACAUUAUCUGGAAGAGGAUAUAAAAAUGAAGAGAUCCCUGUUGGCUCAGCAGAUUAAGCAUUCAGCCUUGUCACCACUGAGGCGUGGGUUCAAUCCCCAGCCCAGGAACUUGUCUAUGCCGUGGGCACCGCCCCCCUCCAAAUAAAAAGGGGGGCAUGAAUUUAUUCUGAUUUCAUCUGCCACCUAUGAUAUGUUACUUCCUCCCUGCUUAAAUUUUAUCUUUCAAUAUGUUGAGUUCAUUUUUCGGUUUUUCUAUUUGGGUCUCAGAUUUUUACACAGUGUCUCUAGCAUGGAGAAAAAAAACAACAAACAAAAUAUGUGCUGGCUCACAAGGUACUCCUCUGAUCCUGAGAACUGUAUUCACUUGUCUUUAAUCCUCCCUUAUUAAGUACACCUCUAAGAACUGAUUUCAUGCCUCUUGCAACACACCACACCCUUUAAAUAAAACAGAG
rnacentral:lncRNA from 1 species